rnacentral:rRNA from 1 species
UACGUAGGUGGCAAGCGUUGUCCGGAUUUAUUGGGUUUAAAGGGUGCGUAGGCGGCUUAUUAAGUCAGUGGUGAAAUACUCUAGCUCAACUAGAGGGGUGCCAUUGAUACUGAUGAGCUUGAGUACAGAUGAGGUAGGCGGAAUUGACGGUGUAGCGGUGAAAUGCUUAGAUAUCGUCAAGAACACCUAUAGCGAAGGCAGCUUACUAGGCUGUAACUGACGCUGAGGCACGAAAGCGUGGGGAGCGAACAGG